CGGACCAGUUCCUUUUGGAAAAAAUAUGGCUGACUCUGGUGUUGAGAUGGGAAAGAGGGUUAGUUUUGAUCCCUUUGAUCUUCCAAGUGAUGUGAGAACCCUUGCUCGUAUUGUGUAUUCUGCUCAUGGUGGUGAGAUAGCUGUCGCUUUUCUACGAGGUGGAGUCCAUGUAUUCUCAGGUCCAAGCUUCACCCCUGUUGAUAACUACCAUAUUGAUGUUGGAUCUGCCAUUGCUUCUCCGGCCUUCUCUUCGACGAGUUGCUGCUCAGCUUCUGUUUGGCAUGAUACCACCAGAGAUUGUACAAUAUUGAAGAUUAUUCGAGUUCUUCCUCCUGCUGUUCCUAGUAAUCAGGUGAAAGCCAAUUCUGCGAAUUGGGAACGUGCAAUUGCUGAGAGAUUUUGGUGGAGUCUUUUGGUUGGAGUUGAUUGGUGG
rnacentral:misc_RNA from 1 species